rnacentral:rRNA from 1 species
CUGAGAGGAUGACCAGCCACACUGGAACUGAGACACGGUCCAGACUCCUACGGGAGGCAGCAGUGGGGAAUAUUGCACAAUGGGCGCAAGCCUGAUGCAGCCAUGCCGCGUGUAUGAAGAAGGCCUUCGGGUUGUAAAGUACUUUCAGCGGGGAGGAAGGGAGUAAAGUUAAUACCUUUGCUCAUUGACGUUACCCGCAGAAGAAGCACCGGCUAACUCCGUGCCAGCAGCCGCGGUAAUACGGAGGGUGCAAGCGUUAAUCGGAAUUACUGGGCGUAAAGCGCACGCAGGCGGUUUGUUAAGUCAGAUGUGAAAUCCCCGGGCUCAACCUGGGAACUGCAUCUGAUACUGGCAAGCUUGAGUCUCGUAGAGGGGGGUAGAAUUCCAGGUGUAGCGGUGAAAUGCGUAGAGAUCUGGAGGAAUACCGGUGGCGAAGGCGGCCCCCUGGACGAAGACUGACGCUCAGGUGCGAAA